GACGAACGCUGGCGGCGUGCUUAACACAUGCAAGUCGAACGGAAAGGCCCCUUUGGGGGUACUCGAGUGGCGAACGGGGGAGUAACACGUGAGUAACCUGCCCUUGACUUCGGGAUAACUUCAGGAAACUGGGGCUAAUACCGGAUAGGAAUCCUUUCUGCAUGGUGGGGGUUGGAAAGCUUCGGCGGUUUUGGAUUGACUCGCGGCUUAUCAUCUUGUUGGUGGGGUAGUGGCUUACCAAGGCUUUGACGGGUAGCCGGCCUGAGAGGGCGACCGGCCACAGUGGGACUGAGAAAGGGCCCAGACUCCUACGGGAGGCAGCAGUGGGGAAUAUUGCACAAUGGGCGGAGGCGCGUGGCAGAACCGCCGCGUGCGGGAUGACGGCCUUCGCGUUGUAAACCGCUUUCAGCAGGGGCGAAGCUUGUGGUGACGGUACCUGGAGAAGAAGCACCGGCUAACUACGUG
rnacentral:rRNA from 1 species